GCAACUACCAGAUGUACUAAGUCAGAUGCAGCUUUUGUAGUCAGCUUGUGUUUGAGCACAAACAACAUCAUUAGCAGUGCACUUGAUCCAACUGUCAUCUGGCACUCAGAAUAAAUGCUCUCAUUAAUUCGUUUGCCUCGGAGUCCAUGCUGUCUGUUUCAAAAUUCAAAAAAUUCAUGUCACUAGCAUGAAUGUUGUUUUCAUUAUCAUCUUCAUCUGCUUCUUCAUCAUUGUGGUCUUGAUCAUCAUCUUCUUGAUCUACUAAAAACAAACCUGGUUUAUGCAUUUUCAAGCAUCAGACUGGUAAUAUGUACUUUACAUGUUGCAACUACCUUCAGAGUUAGUUUUCAUAUCAACUUGAUCAGUUGUGUCUGACAAGUCGUCAUCUGAAAUGACUGUGCUCUGAUGAUCAAUCAUAUCUAAUGUGAUAUGGAUUUGGUGCACUCAUUUGUCUGUCUGAAUAUAAGUUGGUUCUUAUCAAUUUUGAACUGUAGGUUACUGCAGUUACCUAAACGUAUGCUGCCUUACAAUUUUACAGAAUGUAGUAUAUAUAUUGAUAUAUUAGAAUAUAUUGAAAACACGAAUUGAAAUUGAAUUUUGUAAAUUUGUUAGGGAAUAAU